rnacentral:misc_RNA from 1 species
UCCGAGUUGACCCCGGCAGUCUCCUACGAGUCCCCGGCAUAACCCGCUGGCAACAUAGGACAAGGGUUGCGCUCGUUGCGGGACUUAACCCAACAUCUCACGACAUGAGCUGACGACAGCCAUGCACCACCUGUAUACCGACCACAAGGGGGGCCACAUCUCUGCAGCUUUCCGGUAUAUGUCAAACCCAGGUAAGGUUCUUCGCGUUGCAUCGAAUUAAGCAACAUGCUCCGCCGCUUGUGCGGGCCCCCGUCAAUUCCUUUGAGUUUUAGCCUUGCGGCCGUACUCCCCAGGCGGGGCACUUAAUGCGUUAGCUACGGCACGGAGAACGUCGAUAAUUCCCCACACCUAGUGCCCAACGUUUACGGCGUGGACUAC